UGGGGAAUUUUGGACGAAUUGGGCGAAAGCCUGAUCCAGCAAUGCCGCGUGUGUGAAGAAGGCCUUCGGGUUGUAAAGCACUUUUGUCCGGAAAGAAAUCCUUGGCUCUAAUACAGUCGGGGGUGGACGGUACCGGAAGAAUAAGCACCGGCUAACUACGUGCCAGCAGCCGCGGUAAUACGUAGGGUGCAAGCGUUAAUCGGAAUUACUGGGCGUAAAGCGUGCGCAGGCGGUUUGCUAAGACCGAUGUGAAAUCCCCGGGCUCAACCUGGGAACUGCAUUGGUGACUGGCAGGCUAGAGUAUGGCAGAGGGGGGUAGAAUUCCACGUGUAGCAGUGAAAUGCGUAGAGAUGUGGAGGAAUACCGAUGGCGAAGGCAGCCCCCUGGGCAAGUACUGACGCUCAUGCACG
rnacentral:rRNA from 1 species